UACGUAGGGGGCGAGCGUUGUCCGGAUUCAUUGGGCGUAAAGAGCUCGUAGGCGGCUUGGCAAGUCGGGUGUGAAAACUCCAGGCUCAACCUGGAGACGCCACCCGAUACUGCCAUGGCUUGAGUCCGGUAGGGGACCACGGAAUUCCUGGUGUAGCGGUGAAAUGCGCAGAUAUCAGGAGGAACACCGAUGGCGAAGGCAGGUCUCUGGGCAUUAACUGACGCUGAGGAGCGAAAGCAUGGGGAGCGAACAGG
rnacentral:rRNA from 1 species